GGGGAGGGCGGGUGCUAUACAUGCAGUCGAACGAACUCUGGUAUUGAUUGGUGCUUGCAUCAUGAUUUACAUUUGAGUGAGUGGCGAACUGGUGAGUAACACGUGGGAAACCUGCCCAGAAGCGGGGGAUAACACCUGGAAACAGAUGCUAAUACCGCAUAACAACUUGGACCGCAUGGUCCGAGCUUGAAAGAUGGCUUCGGCUAUCACUUUUGGAUGGUCCCGCGGCGUAUUAGCUAGAUGGUGGGGUAACGGCUCACCAUGGCAAUGAUACGUAGCCGACCUGAGAGGGUAAUCGGCCACAUUGGGACUGAGACACGGCCCAAACUCCUACGGGAGGCAGCAGUAGGGAAUCUUCCACAAUGGACGAAAGUCUGAUGGAGCAACGCCGCGUGAGUGAAGAAGGGUUUCGGCUCGUAAAACUCUGUUGUUAAAGAAGAACAUAUCUGAGAGUAACUGUUCAGGUAUUGACGGUAUUUAACCAGAAAGCCACGGCUAACUACGUGCCAGCAGCCGCGGUAAUACGUAGGUGGCAAGCGUUGUCCGGAUUUAUUGGGCGUAAAGCGAGCGCAGGCGGUUUUUUAAGUCUGAUGUGAAAGCCUUCGGCUCAACCGAAGAAGUGCAUCGGAAACUGGGAAACUUGAGUGCAGAAGAGGACAGUGGAACUCCAUGUGUAGCGGUGAAAUGCGUAGAUAUAUGGAAGAACACCAGUGGCGAAGGCGGCUGUCUGGUCUGUAACUGACGCUGAGGCUCGAAAGUAUGGGUAGCAAACAGGAUUAGAUACCCUGGUAGUCCAUACCGUAAACGAUGAAUGCUAAGUGUUGGAGGGUUUCCGCCCUUCAGUGCUGCAGCUAACGCAUUAAGCAUUCCGCCUGGGGAGUACGGCCGCAAGGCUGAAACUCAAAGGAAUUGACGGGGGCCCGCACAAGCGGUGGAGCAUGUGGUUUAAUUCGAAGCUACGCGAAGAACCUUACCAGGUCUUGACAUACUAUGCAAAUCUAAGAGAUUAGACGUUCCCUUCGGGGACAUGGAUACAGGUGGUGCAUGGUGUCGUCAGCUCGUGUCGUGAGAUGUGGGUAGUCCCGCACGAGCGCACCCUAUAUCAGUGCAGCAUAGUGGGCACUCUGGUGGACUGCGUGACACGAGGAGUGGGGAUGACGUCAAUCAUCAUGCCCUAUGACUGGCUACCCACGUGCUACAAUGGAUGGUACACGAGUGCGAAUUC
rnacentral:rRNA from 1 species